rnacentral:tRNA from 1 species
GGGGUUGUGGCUCAGCGGUAGAGCACUCACAUAGCACGUGCGAGACACUGGGUUCGAUCCUCAGCACCACA